GACGAAUGCUAGCGGCAGGCCUAAUACAUGCAAGUCGAACGCGAUUAAGGUGCUUGCACCUUAUGAAAGUGGCGCACGGGUGCGUAACGCGUAUGCAACCUACCUUUAUCAGGGGGAUAGCCCGGAGAAAUCCGGAUUAAUGCCGCAUAAAAUCACAGGAUAGCAUUUUCCAAUGAUCAAACAUUUAUGGGAUAGAGAUGGGCAUGCGUGUCAUUAGCUAGUUGGCGGGGUAACGGCCCACCAAGGCGACGAUGACUAGGGGAGCGGAGAGGAUGGCCCCCCACACUGGUACUGAGACACGGACCAGACUCCUACGGGAGGCAGCAGUAAGGAAUAUUGGUCAAUGGAGGGAACUCUGAACCAGCCAUGCCGCGUGCAGGAAGACUGCCCUAUGGGUUGUAAACUGCUUUUAUCCAGGAAUAAACCUACUUACGUGUAAGUAGCUGAAUGUACCGGAAGAAUAAGGAUCGGCUAACUCCGUGCCAGCCGCCGCAGUAA
rnacentral:rRNA from 1 species